AGCGAACGCUGGCGGCGGGCUUAACACAUGCAAGUCGAACGGCAAGGCCCUACGUGUUUGGUGUUCUCGGUUGGCAAACGCGUGCGUGACAGGAGUGUAUCCUGCCCUUGUCUUUGGUGUAGCUUCACGUAGCUGGACCUAAUACCAUAUAGGAUCUCCUCCUCCGUUGUAGGCAGGGGAUAUUUUCGGCUUUCGGGGAUGGACUCGCGGCUUAUGAGCUUGCUGGUGGGGGAGUUGCUUACCAAGGCAUUGGCCGGUCGCCGGCCGGAGAGGGUGACCGGCAACAUUGGGACUGAGAUACGGACCAGACUCCAAUGGGGGGCAGUAGUGGGGAGUAUUGCCCAAUGGGCGGAAGUGUGAUGAAGCAACGCCGCGUGUGGGAUGACGGCCUUCGGGUUGUAAACCGCUUUCGCUUGUUACGAAGCGUGAGUGGCGGUAAUGGGUAAAGAAGCACCGGCUAACUACGUG
rnacentral:rRNA from 1 species